AAGAUGAAUAUUCUAUGGAGAAACAUGGGGAAUCCUCUACAUCUGGAGUGCCUAGUGUUGGAAUAGUGGUGUUCUUACUGGGAGCUGCAAUGGUGAUGUACAUCGCCAAACAAAAAAGAGUGGCAUGGACCAUGAGACAAAGGAUACGAGAAGUGUGUAUGAGAUGAUAUUUCUUGGAUGAGAAAUCAACAAUGGUCUUACAUGACAAAUUUCAUGGUGUGGAGGCCAAAGCAGCAACAUCCUGCAUGGCUGGGCUACAUUUCCCAGAAAGUCAUGUUUCACACACUUCCAGUGUUCUUUCAAUCCUCAAUACCAAACCAGUUAAAAUACUGUAGGUGAAAAAACAACAACAACAAAGUGACUGUGUUUCAUUGUGA